rnacentral:rRNA from 1 species
AUUGAACGCUGGCGGAAUGCUUUACACAUGCGAGUCGAGCGGCAGCGCGGCCUUCGGGCUGGCGGCGAGCGGCGAACGGGUGAGUAAUGCAUCGGAACAUGCCCAGUCGUGGGGGAUAACACUUCGAAAGAAGUGCUAAUACCGCAUACGUCCUGAGGGGGAAAGCGGGGGAUCGCAAGACCUCGCGCGAUUGGAGUGGCCGAUGUCAGAUUAGCUAGUUGGUGGGGUAAAGGCCUACCAAGGCGACGAUCUGUAGCUGGUCUGAGAGGAUGAUCAGCCACACUGGGACUGAGACACGGCCCAGACUCCUACGGGAGGCAGCAGUGGGGAAUUUUGGACAAUGGGGGCAACCCUGAUCCAGCCAUUCCGCGUGAGUGAAGAAGGCCUUCGGGUUGUAAAGCUCUUUCGGCAGGAACGAAACGGUGGGCUCUAACAUAGUCCGCUAAUGACGGUACCUGAAGAAGAAGCACCGGCUAACUACGUG